CGGGAUGUGGCUCAGCCUGGCUAGAGCGCCGCGUUCGGGACGCGGAGACCGCGCGUUCAAAUCGCGCCAUCCCGA
rnacentral:tRNA from 1 species